rnacentral:rRNA from 1 species
GUGACGCUACGGGACGCAGCAGUGGGGAAUAUUGGGCAAUGGGCGCAAGCCUGACCCAGCAACGCCGCGUGAAGGAAGAAGGCUUUCGGGUUGUAAACUUCUUUUCUCAGGGACGAAGCAAGUGACGGUACCUGAGGAAUAAGCCACGGCUAACUACGUGCCAGCAGCCGCGGGAAUACGUAGGUGGCAAGCGUUAUCCGGAUUUACUGGGUGUAAAGAGUGUGUGGGCGGGGACGGCA